AAACGGACGGCAAUCGUGCCCCGACGUUAGCGGGGCGCGGUUCAGCGAUAGGGAUCUUCGGUGUUCAGAUAGCCCGCCACAUAGUCGGCCACGCCGUCUUCCAGCGCGGUCAUCGGCGCGUUGUAGCCGGCCGCGCGCAGGCGGCUCAUGUCGGCCUGGGUGUAGUACUGAUACUUGCCGCGCAGCACCUCGGGCAUGUCGAUAUAGGUGAUGUCGGGCGCACGACCCGCGGCCUCGAACGUGGCCACCGCCAGAUCACGGAACGAACGCGCCUGGCCCGAGCCGAGGUUGAAGACGCCGUUCACGGCGGGGCUCUUGGCCAGCCA
rnacentral:sRNA from 1 species